rnacentral:misc_RNA from 1 species
GAUGAAGAACGUAGCGAAAUGCGAUAAGUAAUGUGAAUUGCAGAAUUCAGUGAAUCAUCGAAUCUUUGAACGCGCAUUGCGUCCGCCAGUAUUCUGGCGGGCAUGCCUGUUCGAGCGUCAUUACAACCCUCAGGCCCCCGGGCCUGGCGUUGGGGAUCGGCGGAGCCCCCCGUGGGCACACGCCGUCCCCCAAAUGCAGUGGCGGUCCCGCCGCAGCUUCCAUCGCGUAGUAGCUAACACCUCGCGACUGGAGAGCGGCGCGGCCACGCCGUAAAACACCCAACUCUUCUGAAGUUGACCUCGAAUCAGGUAGGAAUACCCGCUGAACUUAAGCAUAUCAAUAAGCGGAGGA